CAUAUCAAUAAGCGGAGGAAAAGAAACCAACAGGGAUUGCCCCAGUAACGGCGAGUGAAGCGGCAACAGCUCAAAUUUGAAAUCUGGCCCCUAGGGUCCGAGUUGUAAUUUGUAGAGGAUGCUUUUGGUGAGGUGCCGCCCGAGUUCCCUGGAACGGGACGCCACAGAGGGUGAGAGCCCCGUCUGGCUGGCCGCCGAGCCUCUGUAAAGCUCCUUCGACGAGUCGAGUAGUUUGGGAAUGCUGCUCAAAAUGGGAGGUAUAUGUCUUCUAAAGCUAAAUAUUGGCCAGAGACCGAUAGCGCACAAGUAGAGUGAUCGAAAGAUGAAAAGCACCUUGAAAAGAGGGUUAAAUAGUACGUGAAAUUGUUGAAAGGGAAGCGCUUGUGACCAGACUUGGGCGCGGCGGAUCAUCCGGGGUUCUCUCCGGUGCACUUCGCCGCGUCUGGGCCAGCAUCAGUUCGUCGCGGGGGAAAAAGGCUUCGGGAACGUGGCUCCUCCGGGAGUGUUAUAGCCCGUCGCAUAAUACCCUGCGGUGGACUGAGGACCGCGCAUCUGCAAGGAUGCUGGCGUAAUGGUCACCAGCGACCCGUCUUGAAACACGGACCAAGGAGUCGUCUUCGUAUGCGAGUGUUCGGGUGUCAAACCCCUACGCGUAAUGAAAGUGAACGCAGGUGAGAGCUUCGGCGCAUCAUCGACCGAUCCUGAUGUUCUCGGAUGGAUUUGAGUAAGAGCAUACGGGGCCGGACCCGAAAGAAGGUGAACUAUGCCUGUAUAGGGUGAAGCCAGAGGAAACUCUGGUGGAGGCUCGCAGCGGUUCUGACGUGCAAAUCGAUCGUCAAAUAUGGGCAUGGGGGCGAAAGACUAAUCGAACCUUCUAGUAGCUGGUUUC
rnacentral:rRNA from 1 species